rnacentral:tRNA from 1 species
AAUGGAUUGGCAGAUUAGUGCAUUAAAUUUAGAAUUUAAUUAUGUAAUUAAAUAUUAUAUUCAUUA